CGUAGAGAAUGGCAAUUCAAAGAGUAAUAAGGAGUGAAGAGAGACCCUUUGUGUUGUGCCUUGAUUAAAUGUCUAGGUUUCCAUCAUUGUUGGAUCAUUGUUCCGAAUUUUGUACGACCCUUGAUGGAUUGUUAAUGGAUGAAAAAAUUACAUCUAGACAUACUUUUUCAUUGUCAACUUACAUCUAGACAUACUUUGAGCAUGUGCCAUACUUUCUCUUGACAAAAUAUCUAAAAAGCCCUUUACAUCUUUAUUUUGUUUUCUCUCUACAUUUCUUCUCUCCCACAUAUCUCCUUCGUCAAACACCAUAUCUCUUUUUCAAAUUACAGAAACUAUGAUUUUUUUUCCUUUUCUCCUUCAAUUUUCAUUUUUCAUUUUUCAUUUUUCAUGCAUUCUUGUUUUUGCUCCUCUUUCCUUUUCUCAUUUUCUUUCCUUUUUUUUCUAAUUCAGAUCUGUGAAUUUUUUAAAACAACAUUAUCACCGUCAUCACCGCAACUUCUUUCAUCGCCAUUGCCACAAUUCUUCUUGCGGCCACCGCCGCACUUGCAGAACCACCACUACAAUUCUUUCUCCACCGUUUUUGAGUAAACCCUGAACCCAUAAACACAGAUUUUGACCACAUGAACAAUAAUCAUGACUACAUGAACACUGACUGUAACUUUGACCAUAUGAAUACUGACCCCGAUUCUGAUCAUAUGAACACUGGCCCUAACCAUCCUUUCUCUCCUAGAAAUCCAUGAUUAUGUGGUUUCCAACCGUAACCACCAGCUCAACGAAACCCCUAACCACGAAAGAGCAACCAACCUUUCACUAUAACCCUGACCAAAAAUGUCUGUUUUUAUUAACCACAUCAAUCCUAAAUAGACAAAAUUUGCUCCUGACCACGCAUUUCUGACUACAAAACCCAACACACAGAUCAAAGUCAUUUACUAUUAAUCCAACAAUGUUUAGUAAAUCUCAAACAUACAUAAACCUACCUAAUAUUAGUUACAAAAGGAGUUGCUUAACCCCUUUAGAUUUAACCAAGGUUAGAAAACUUGUCCACCAAAAGGGCUUUUUGGGAAGUGAAAUAGUUAAAGCAAGGGAAAAAGUACACCUCAUUCACAAAGUAUGUGAAUAUGCAAGAAACAAUAAAAAAGUACCCUAACAUGUAAACGUCUCUUAAUGGAUGCAUAUAUAAGUAACUAACGAUAAAAAAUGUAGCAAAGAGUUUUUGGUCCAUUUUAUGCGGGCCCAUGUAUAGGGCAACCUGAUUAUAAUUGACAUGAUUACUUGGUCACUUGAGUCAAGUGAGAUUAAGAC
rnacentral:lncRNA from 1 species